AUUGAACGCUGGCGGCAGGCCUAACACAUGCAAGUCGAACGGUAACAGAAAGCAGCUUGCUGCUUUGCUGACGAGUGGCGGACGGGUGAGUAAUGUCUGGGAAACUGCCUGAUGGAGGGGGAUAACUACUGGAAACGGUAGCUAAUACCGCAUAACGUCGCAAGACCAAAGAGGGGGACCUUCGGGCCUCUUGCCAUCGGAUGUGCCCAGAUGGGAUUAGCUAGUAGGUGGGGUAACGGCUCACCUAGGCGACGAUCCCUAGCUGGUCUGAGAGGAUGACCAGCCACACUGGAACUGAGACACGGUCCAGACUCCUACGGGAGGCAGCAGUGGGGAAUAUUGAACAAAGGGCGCAAGCCUGAUGCAGCCAUGCCGCGUGUAUGAAGAAGGCCUUCGGGUUGUAAAGUACUUUCAGCGGGGAGGAAGGGAGUAAAGUUAAUACCUUUGCUCAUUGGCGUUACCCGCAGAAGAAGCACCGGCUAACUCCGUA
rnacentral:rRNA from 1 species